UCUUCCCGCCAGCGCGGAGCCGGGUCGCGGGAGCGCGGCCCGAGCCCCUCGCGCGCCCUGCCCGGCGCUCCGGCCCCGGCAGCACACGCGAGUCCCUCAGAACCAACCUUGGCAAACAUGCGGCCAGACCGCAAGUGAAGUGACCGCUUUGGUCUUCGAGUGACAAUCCCGUAGAACGUCGCCACAGCUGUGAGGAAAGCGCGCCCUGACGUGCGGCGUCCGGGCGAAAGCGCGCUCGAGACUAGGCGCCCCGCGCCGCCCUGAGGGCUCGUCCGCCCGGACGGACCGGCCGGCGAAGUCGCUGACCGUGACGGGCAAACACGGAGCCCUCUGCCCGCCCCCGGGAACCUGCCCCCGCCCGGAGAGUCGAGGCUCACUUCGUGUUCUGGAGGACAGCCCCGUCCGACCUCCAGACGCGCGGCUCUGGGGAGGGGUCCCUCCGGCCAGCUUCCCUCCCUUCCGCACAGUGCACCCCUCUGGGGACGCACGCUUCCGGAGAAGGGCGCCCGAGUCCUUCACCAAGAGGCUGCUGGCCUCCGGAACGUCUUCUGCCCCACCGGCCUCCGUCCGCGCCAGGCGAGGACGGGGCGCGGGACGGCCCAGGGCCCUGCGUGGCGGAGCGCGCGGCUCUGGGCGUCCCCGUCACCCCGGGGACUUCGCGCCCGUCGUUCCGGGCGCUCCGGUUUCAGCCCAAGCUUCUGCUUUCCCAUCGCCCCGAGGGAAGAGUCCUCAAGCGAAAGAACCUGCCGACUGCCGGGUGUUAGCCCGGGGUCUGGUUAGUGUGGACACACAUCCGUGAACGGGGUUCACAGGUCGCGGCAGCCGCCCGUCCUCUUUAGAGUCCUGUCACCGUCGUCUUCCGGGAGACAUGUGGUCGCCAAGGGGGAGACACGACCCUGUCCCUCCCUCAAAAUGCAAAAGAAGUGCUUUAUAUAACACGAGGAGCCUCUCCCGCAGGUGGUUUUUCGGCAUGCCAUCUGAAUCCUUAUUCUUCUUGCUCGAGAGACAUGGAGAAACAUGCUGUUUUCCUGAACAGCCGACUCCUUGCGGUCGCUGCACCUUCGCUGAAGAUGGAAGACGGGGACUUCCGGUCUCAGCGGUCAGAAACUCCUCAGUGGCCACACCACUGCCCCUUGGGAGGUGUACCGUCCUUCUCACGUGCCAAGCCCGGGCUGAUGGCACAGGCCCUUGCUGGGCCCCAGUCACUGUCCUCAGCCUGUGUGGGGCUGUCUCCAAUAAUAGCACGUGGCUGAAUGAAGGAAGUUCCUCCAAACCGGGACAGGCCAUGGUUCCAGAGCAGAAGAAGGUAGAGUCCAGCCUCACCUCUCCGGAGUCUGCUUUCCAUCCUGCCUUCGCUUUCCAUCCUGGCCAGCCCCAGUGACCAGACACCUGGAAACUUGCGUCUUCCUGACCUGUGUCCUUCUGGAGCUCCUCUGACUAUUGUCCCCAUCAGUUAAGCAUUGAAUGUUUGAUCCCAGUCUUCAAAAUAGUUCAGGUUCCUGAGGAGGAAGUUACAGGACACAGGCAGGGAUUCCACCUGAGUGUGAGCAGCAAGAGGGCAUGUAUGAUGCAAGUGACCCCUGUGUGUUAAGCACAGGUACACACCUGAGAUGCCUAGGCAGAGGUCGAUGCUAUUUGGCCUUUAUAUAUCAGUAGGUUUGUUUUCCUUUUGAGCUUCAGCAAAGCCUCCUGCUGGGCAUGAAUAUUUAAAACAAAACCCACUUGAGCACCUAAAACCAUCUUAAGGUGGGAAUUGGUUUUCUUCCUCACAUUAGAUAGCUUCGUGUUGGCCAUAGUGAUUUGGACAUCCUCCUUCCAACCAAAGAAGAAAAUAACCCAUUCUGCUAACAGCCAAGACCACAUCGAUGUGCAGUUGGGUGUAAGAGUGAGUGUGUUCAAAGUCUGAUUCCAUGGACGUGUCUGUCUUCCUUCACAGAGAACACCUUGCUGGGAACAUGUUCCGUGUGUCUGCGGUUACCUUGACCCUGUGAAUUUGAUAGUGGGGUUGGCAAAUAACUAGAGCAUUCUGGAAGCCUGAAGUCAUCAGGCAUCAGAAAGGAAGGGGAGCUGCUGGCGUGUGGCACACGAUUAAGGAGGACUGUGUGUGCCGCCGGGGAGAGACAGCUCCAGGUGGGGCCUGCAGAAAGGCGGCACUGUAGAAGCCAAGCUUUGGGGCUCUGCCACAUCCUGCUUGGAAAUAUCUGCUAGCUGCCCCUGCCUUCCUUGUGUUUAAAGCCAUCUCCUUUUCAGGAUGGCUUUGCUGUGGCCCUUCUGGUCCAGACAGUGGUCCUGGGGCCCUGCCAUGUACCGGAGGGUACUUGGCAGCAUCCCUGCCUGUGCCCACCAGAUGCUAACGGCAUCCCUCUGGCUCUCCCUGUCACGAUCAUCAAAAAUCUCUCCAGAUAUUGCCACACAUGCCUAGGGGAGGCAGAAUCAUUCCUGCAUGAGAACCACUGGGCCAGAUAAAAUUAAAUACACAUCUUAUUGCUCAGACCUCAAAGCCUGUGCUUGAGGGAAAUGAAGGAAGGAGAAAGCCCAGAGAAAGUGCAGGUGUAGGAGGGUUACCUGGAGAGGAGAGAGUGUGCCAGGUACGACACGGUCUGCUUAGGUCGAGGAGUUGUCUCAUCUGGGGACUGAGUGGCUGAUUACGGGCUCAGGGCUCAUUACUUCUAAAUUGCUGUCUGUCACUGCUCAUUAGAAGAGUUUUCAUUUGAAAUCUGUUUCUGGGUUUUUGCCCUCUUGCAGAGAAUACUGAAUGAGGUCACAGGGAUUAAUGGCCACUAAAAGCUGUUCUGUUCCAAUAUUGCUCCAAGGAAAACUAAUCACCAUGUUUUCUGAAUCAAAACCCUGAAAUAAAAACACUAGAAUUAACAGGUCACCUCCAAUCAGAUGGUCUCAUGAAAGGUGCCAGCACCAAAAUGGAGUCACUUAUGUCAACACCCUAGCAAAACGCACUCAGGAGGCUGUGAAAGAAGGAGUGUGUGCACAUGCCCGUGGCCUGCCUUAUCACGGGAAGUGCCACAUGCCCCACAUGCCCCCUCGCCCACGGGUCCUAUAUAUGCUGUUCGCACCUUGUUGCAGGACUUAUCACAAGAACCCUCUCUGGACUGCAGUGGUCCAGAGAAGCUGCCCGCUCAAGGACACUGACCCACAGCAGCUGACUCCACCAGCGAACCAACACCAGCUCCUGUAACGGACUUCUGGGACCUGUGGAGUUUGUUUCAAAACAGCUCACGUGGACUUCUUUUUGCCUAUGAAAGCUUCUCCUUGGUCCUGACCUUCGUGGAUAUGCCUGUGAUCUGCCAUAGCGGCUACAUCCCACGUCACAACCCCUCC